rnacentral:rRNA from 1 species
CGCAAGCGUGAUGCAGCCAUGGGGCGUGUGUUAAGAAGGCGUUCGGGUUGUAAAGCACUUUCAGUCAGGAGGAAAGAUUAGUAUUUAAUACGUGAAAAAUGUGACGUUACUGACAGAAGAAGCACCGGCUAACUCCGUGCCAGCAGCCGCGGUAAUAAGGAGGGUGCGAGCGUUAAUCUGAAUUAUUGGGGGUAAAAAGGAGGCUGGCGGUUUUUUAAGCGAGAUGUGAAAGCCCCGGGCUCAACCUGGGAAUUGCAUUUGGAACUGGCAAACUAGAGUGUGAUAGAGGGGGGUGGAAUUUCAGGUGUAGCGGUGAAAUGUGUAGAGAUAUGAAGGAAAACCGAUGGCGAAGGCAGCCACCUGGGUCAACACUGACGCUCAUGUACGAAAGCGUGGGGAGCAAACAGGAUUAGAUACCCUGGUAGUCC